rnacentral:rRNA from 1 species
UACGUAGGGUGCGAGCGUUGUCCGGAAUUAUUGGGCGUAAAGGGCUCGUAGGCGGUCUGUCACGUCAGGAGUGAAAACUCGGGGCUCAACCCCGAGCCUGCUUCUGAUACGGGCAGACUGGAGGUAUGCAGGGGAGAACGGAAUUCCUGGUGUAGCGGUGAAAUGCGCAGAUAUCAGGAGGAACACCGGUGGCGAAGGCGGUUCUCUGGGCCUUACCUGACGCUGAGGAGCGAAAGCGUGGGGAGCGAACAGG